rnacentral:rRNA from 1 species
GCGAAGAAGAUUACCAAGGCUUGACAUAUAGAGGACACGUAUGGAAACAGUCGCCCCGCAAGGUCUCUAUACAGGUGGUGCAUGGUUGUCGUCAGCUCGUGUCGUGAGAUGUUGGGUUAAGUCCCGCAACGAGCGCAACCCUCGUCCUAUGUUGCCAGCACGUAAUGGUGGGAACUCAUGGGAGACUGCCGGGGUCAACUCGGAGGAAGGUGGGGAUGACGUCAAAUCAUCAUGCCCCUUAUGUCUUGGGCUUCACGCAUGCUACAAUGGCCGGUACAAAGGGCUGCAAUACCGUAAGGUGGAGCGAAUCCCAAAAAGCCGGUCUCAGUUCGGAUUGAGGUCUGCAACUCGACCUCAUGAAGUUGGAGUCGCUAGUAAUCGUGGAUCAGCAACGCCACGGUGAAUACGUUCCCGGGCCUUGUACACACCGCCCGUCAAGUCAAGA